AGUCUAAAGUUUUCUUCCCUGUUCCUUGUUUUUGUUUUUAAAAUCAAUGACAAGCAACACAUACCAUUGCAGCAAAUCGGUAUAGAUUGCUCUUUCCAGUUUUGUAUGAUAAUUAUUUUAGGCAGUGCCUAUGGUCGUCCAAAUCUACAAUUUUUUAAUCCAAAAUAUUAGUGUUACAGUCAAGAUCAUUCCUUCUGAUUUCAAUCAAUCCAGAGUGAUAUUAAAAAUCAAUCCAAGUGGCAAGCCACCUGAGUUAAAAUUUCCUUUUCCUCAGCUCCAGUUGAAGAGAAUUGCAACCAAUCCUUAUUCAACAUUCUAUGAGAUGCAAUAAUAUUAAAUUAGUUUUCUGUUCUAUCAUUUGAAGCAACCCUAAAUUGAUUUAGAAGGCAGGGCUUUCAAAGUUGAUUAUUUCAGGGUCGCAUAAAUAUAAAUUCCCUGAAGUUUAAAAAAAAAGGACUGAAUCAUAAGUACAGUAAAAAGGACAAAAGGUGAAAGCAGAAUUAUCUCCAAGCAAUAUAUCCUUUCCAGACAUGCUUUAAGGCUUAAAAGAUGGUUUGUAACAAUUGUACAGCAACCUUAGUUUUCAGAAGGGAGGAGAAGAAACAUAGGAGAAACACCCAUAAGCACUUCGUGUACCUGAUAUCUUGAGGAGGGGAGAUUUGUCCCCAGCUACAUCCUGAAGAAAUUGCUGCUCUGAUGUUCUGGGAAAUCAGCCAAGGAGUUUGGAUUAUUUUUAUAAGCCCAUAAAAGCACUUGGGAUUCAUAUGAAGGGGGCCCUACAUAUAAAGAAUAGAUGCAUGAAAUAUACAUGGGAGAAGCUGAGUGGAAAUCUGGAGAACAGUGGAACUCUAGUAGCUGCGAUCCAAUUUUCCCAGAAUGUCUUGAGGAAAGCACCUGGUUUCUUUUUCUACCAUAUUUGAAAAAUCAGUCUUUUGGAAUCAUUUUAUUCUUUCCAAGAUCCACAGGAGGAAAGAAUGUCACACAACCAGUUUUCAAAUGCCUUGAAAAAAGGUGGUGAAGCAUCACCCAAUAUUUUCCAGUCCUUUUAUUUCAAGAAUUAAAGGAGAACUAAAAUUACUACUGCACUGGCUGAGCUCAUCAGAUGACUACAUUUGCAUUCAUGAGUCUUGCUGUUUAGGUGGGCUAACAACUGUAUGAAAGAAACAAUCUGUGAAAUUACCAUUUUUUUUUGCUAUCCUCUCCUCACCUACAUUAGUCAAAACUUCAUCUAAUGGCAUCUUACACCUCUUGGCAAAUUCAUCGUUGCACAUGGGGAAGCUUAUAAUUGUUCAGUGCUGAAAGAAAGAUGCUCUGCACAUGCUCAGAAGCUCUAUAUUAAUCCUUUUUGUAUGUUCAAGAAAUAAACACCAGCACUACAAUAAACUUAAUUGCAUGAUUUAAUUGCAAAUAUAGGGAGGAAAGAAUUCUUGCACAAAAUUAAGCUUUUGUCUACUUGUCCUCUUCUUGCACCUGUGGUCUUCCUGUAAAGUUGAUUGCUUUCCAGUGCCCAAUUCUUUUGCAGUAUUAAACCUGAGCCAUCUGCUGCCAUUCAGGGUCCCCAUACAGAGAACCCAGAUCACCGAUUCCAUACAUGCACACACAUUUAAAGACCAGCUUUCUGCUACAGUUUCCUGUUCACUUCUUUGCCUAAAGGCUGGAAUAGGACACUUUUGGACGCCAGAUUUGAGGGGCAGCCAAGGCUUUGGGGAGGGGGCAGGGGUGGUUUGGGAUGAAUCUCUGGUUGCUGCAGCACAUUGCCUUCCCUUAUGCACUCAAGAGCAGAUUUGGAGGAGGCUGGGAGAGGGGAGCGGGAUGGCAGGAGGGAAUUCAGCUGAGGAAAUACGCAAAGAAUUUGCUUGGCUCAUGGCCAGCAGGUCAAAGUAACAAAGACUUUAUUGUUUAUAUUGGAUCCCAGGAGGUACCAUGAGGCGCAUAUAGUACAGGGCAGCUUCCCAAGCCCAACAGCACAAGCUCUUUUGGGGGGGGGGAACAAAAAAAAUCCCUCAUAUAGUCCCCCCCCAAAAGUGUUGGUUUCUGCACCCCUUUCAUACACACACACACAGUGUUAAUUCAUCUUCCGCCACGUGCACAUCUGAAAAGACGGCCUCCCUAUAAGAAAGACACACAGUGGACUCUGCUGCAGACUUGUCCCAAACCCCAGACACCUCUGCACUAUAUUCCACUCCCCUCUCCCCCAACCACAAAUCCAUUUUUUUCAGCUGGCUCUCCCAACCUUCUUUCCACAAUUGUUUUCCCUCUCCCUCUGCUAGCAGACAGAUUCCCUCCCAAACCCAUAGCCACAGCCGCUUUCUCCACCACAGAAAAUAAGCUGUCAAACAGAUGUGUGCAAUGCAAGACAUCUGGGGGCCUCAGGCGGGAACAGGGGAGGCCCAACCAAGGAGCUGGAGAACUUUUAAAGACAACAGAGCCACAUUUGCUUCGUAGCCAAUAAAUGCUCCAUCAUUUUUCAAGAAGAGGUUGGACAACAAUUUGUCCGAAAUGGUAUAGGGUCUCCUGCUUGAGCAGGGGAUUGGACUAGAAGACCUCCAAGGUCCCUUCCAACUUUGUCAUUCUUUGUUCUAUGUUCUAAAUGCACUUGGAUGUUCUCAUCAUUGUGGCAAUUAUUGCUUUUACCCUCAGUUUGCAGUUAGGGAAACAUUGCACCAUUGAAAGGGGCUACAAACUACAUUCCAGAAUCCAUUUACAUCAGCAUGCUUCAGAAAGGGUUACCCCCUUGCCCCUCUUUAACUCUACUUGCCUCUAUUAUCUGCCAGUGCACAUUCUCUGUGACUCUUCCCUUUCUGAAUUAACUGUCCCGGGUAGCUGAAAUAGGCAGUCUCAGGCUAAGCAAAGGAUUAGCGUACAGGAAACUCUGUUUCUGGCACUGGGGUGUGCCACAUCCAGGAACAAUUGCCUGAGGUUAGGAAAGGUAGAAGCAGAAUCUGGAACUGUUCAUUCCCAUCCCCAUAAUUCCAAGAUGGGAUUGAUUUAAAUUAAACUGAGUUUUCACUUUCAUAGGAAUUACUAUUAUGAUUGGUCACACAGUCAGCCAGAUGUAUAGACAGUUUGGAACUUUUGUCCACCUAUUCAAUCCUUCCCAAGGACUUGGGACAAUCAAAUGUUAAAGGCAUUAAAGGUAUUGUCACAGGAUGAAAGCUGUUCCCAGUAAAACUGCCUUUUGCAGUUGAGUGAUGGUGAUUUUGUCAAUGCUGAUGGAGUUCAAGGUCCUCCAGAUGUUUUAGGAUUGCACCCAAGGUGCUUGUUAUUGGUAUAGCUUUGUUUUCUUUUACACCAAUUGUUCUACUUCUAUUUGCAGGUUUUUUAUUAUUAUGAUUGGUCACAUAGUCAGCCAGAUGUUUAGACUAGAUGUAGCAUUUCUGUCUACUGUUGAGUCAUUAUUAUUUCCACCUGUAAAGAGUUAUGAAGUAUUGCAAACAUAUCACAAAAGAAGAACACAAGGUGUUCUUCAUUGGGAUCAUUAAAAUUAUAGCUUUACUGUAUAUAAAACACAUGGAAUGUAUCUAGUUACUGACCUUUACAAAAUGUGAGCAACUAAAGGCUGACUUGUGCAUGCAGAAGAUAGGAUGAAUUGGCUGGGUUCAGACUCCUAAUGGGAGGUAAUAUGUUCAAAGGGAAUUUUACAUGCCUAUUACUUCUGGAUGCCACCACCCUGUUUUAUUAUGUUUUUUUGAGGGACUAAAAACCAAAGGCAGGAAGUGGGUAUAAAAUGGGAGAGUGGAUCUCUUGGUGGCUUUUUUCUUUUGUAGCAUUAGAAGUAGCUAAGUGACAUCAGUUGCAUCCCCUGGGUGGAGGCGAGAACAUUAAUCUUUCUAUAGCUCUAGAAGUCAGAGAAAAGGUUCCUAACACUUUUGAAGUGCAUUAUGAAGCUAUUCAUAAUGGGUAAAAAAGAAUGAUUAGCAGUAAAAACACACAUUCCAAAUACAAAAUGACAACAAUGCAAGGAGAAACGAUAAUGAAACUUCUGCAUCCAAUCUAAAUUGGUCCUGAGUGUACGGUUCUGAGGGGAAGGUCCUAUUAAUUCCAAAUUUUGUGAAUAACUAUGUACUCCAGUUCGUGGUCCACAUCCACCUUUGUUACAUGGUCUAGUUGAAGCUGAAGUGUGAAGCUAUUCUAUUAAGAGCAUCAUUUUUAAAAAUCCAAAAAGGUGCAAGGAACAGAACUGUAGCAAUAAUAUUUUUGCUCUCUGCAUUUUUGGGAUUUGGUUAAAAUUGCCGAAUUUUUAAGAGGCAAAACAUGACUAUGCCUUGCAAUUAAUUCUGCAGAAAGUAGGCUGGCUUUUCUAAAACCCUAGGAGAUCUCAGUGCUUGCCUAUCUGAGUAACUUCAAGUGGCUGUUAGGAUGUCAGUCCCAGAGGGACAAAAGCAAAGCUCGGGCAAAACAACAGUGGGCAAUUCUUGUUGGCUUUAUACUGGCCACCCAGAGAUUCAGGAGUUUGGGGAAGUACAAUUAGCACCUUCAUCAUAUCCAGUGCUAAUUAUCAUGUAACCUGCCCUCUGGUUUAAAGGACAUAAUAAUGUAUAUUUAAUCUAUAAUUAUAUGGUAAUGAGUAUAUAAUUAAACAGUUGGAGGGGGGAAGUGAUAUGCUCCAAAGAUUGAGAAAUAGGAUACAAAUAAUCUCUUCCACCUAGGCUAUAAUUGGUGUAGAUCAGGGUUUUCAAUGAUCAACUUAUCUCUUGUUUCAAUUAAUUUGAAAGGCUUAUGGCUCUGAGGAACUGAGAUGUAAAAAAAACCUCCUUGUUCAAACUGACUUGUAUGUACCUGGUGGCAUUUUCCAACCAAUAGCUUUGAGCCACACUGAAACUUUUGGAAAGCAGGAAAACAUCUUGAAUCCUCAGGCCCAGGAUGCCAAUCAAAUUCUGAGAUUCUCAAGGAUGGGAGCAAGGGAGAUAUUUUGUAUCUUCAUGCAUGUGAUGUUUUGGGGUUGCCUCUCAUUGCCUGAUGCAAAUUUGCCACAUGAUUUCAGAAAGAUUCUUGCCCCACUUGCUGCCCAACACAAACCAGAAAUUACUGAGGGAAGCUGUAAUUCCUUUGAUGUUGCCAGUUUUGUAAGGAAAGGCUGAAAGGAUACUAAUGUGGCAGAAGAAGCAGAAGGCCUCUGCUGUAUUUUGUCGCUGACAGACACAUGACUGAUGAGCAGGGACAACAGUGUGCUGAAAGAAACCAGCCCUGCCUUUUGCUACUGGCCAACUUAUUCUACCAUUACUAAUUUGCUAAUAAAAAAAGAGUUGAGCCUCAACUUCCUGAUCCUCCAAGAAAGCCAAGUCUUACCUCCCCCGCCCUCUGCAAGAGAAAUCCCAGCAGGGAAUGUCAAGGGCACACUUCAGAUAACUUUAGUCCCUAUUGGGUGAAGAAGAUGGCAAAAGAUGAAGUAUUUAAUUCCACACAGAGCCAUCUGCUAUCCCUAAAAUACAUUUCUUCUACAUGCCACCUUAGUGGGUUCUAUUCCAAUUCAUACUGUCUGUGUGUGUGUAUGUAUAUUUGUGUAUACGUUAGAACUUCUUUUCAGAUAUUCCCUAGUGACAGGUUUGAUUCCCAAAGAAUCAAAGGCUUUGACUUGUGGGGGGGGGGGGCGAGCAUUUAGUACAAAAGAAAAAAAAAAGAAAUCAAUCAGUUGUAUGAAUUCAUUAUUGGAUAGAAUAAUUUUAGGGCAUUCAUUAUCCAGGUAGAAAUGAUCUCUUGGCUAAUUUCACUUUUCUGGCAACCCAAAUUAUUUCACCAAGAUUCUGCAGAGAAAGAGUCCAGGCUCCAAGCCCACAUCUCGGUAAUUAGCGUAAGUCUUCUACUGGUUCUGAAUUUUCUGCUCACUGAUGUCUUUACUAUUUGCCUGCUAACCACUUCUCUAUCAGAUAUUCAUUAUAUAACUAAAAAACCCUAUGGCUUACAUGCUGCUGUCACAGAAUGGCAGUUUCCUGCAGUAGCUCUCAUAUUAUUAGAAAUUACUGAAGAGCAAAGCUCAUGCAUUAACUAGAACAGAGGUGGGGAAAAGCAUUCAUAUGUUUCAAGUUAAACCAAGUUUAUACUGUCUUUGAAUGCUGUGUUACCUAAGUGCGAAGGAAGACUUGUUGAAGAACUUGCCAUCUGACAUCUAAACUUAAUAUAAAUGUAGAUGAUUGUUGUGAGAUAUGGAGAUUCUCUAUUUUUAUCUUCCCCCCUCCCUUUCAAGGUUAUUUUCAGGGACUAUAUGUGAAAGACUGCUGUCUUUUGUAGGCCUAAGGAGGCUCUCAGUUAUACAUACUGCCUAAAUAGCAUACUUGGGAUAUAAACACAAAUUUCUGGAGAGUCUUAUGUCUGCAUUUCAAGGAACCUUUUGCAACGUUCUGGUCUAAGAUAAACAUACUGAAUCAAGACUAAGAUGAUGUCUGCUACACAUGAGCUGAGAGGCAGGUCCUAUUCCCUCUGAUUAGCAAUACUAGAAGGGACAAGUGCUCCUAGCGAGGCUACUGGCAGAAAAUGUGGAAACAUUAAUGGUAUGUUGUGGUUUGGCUUGAAAGGCUUUGGUUUAUACAGCAAACUUAAGUCCAGCGCCAUGUUUUUGAAUGAAAUUCCUUGGAUUUUCCCAUCCUUUUUUACUAUACUGAAAUAAUUAUUUCAAGAAAAUUAUUCACAGCAUUUUAGAUUCCCCAAGGAAAGCAUUUUGAAGUAUGUAGUUGCACACACAGAAGUGGAAGAUGUCCUGGAUGAGACCCCCAAUAUGUCAUUAGAACUAAAGAAUGCUCUAGAAAUAAAACAAAUGAAAGUUUUACUUGGUUAACCUAAACCUGUGUACAUUGCUGUAGUGUAACCUAAACCUAUGUCCAUUAUGAAUAAUCUAUUCCUUUUUCAUCUAACCAAACAAUUUUCAUUCUGACUAGAACUUUAAAAUGGAUCUAUAGUUUCUCAUCCUAGAUGCAUAAAUCAUUGUGAUCAGAUUUCUGUCACUUCGCAACAAAGGAACUGAAGAGUGUGAACCCCACUAUCCAAUCAUACCUGAAGAAGCCAAUUUUGCGAAAAUGCUAUUUAUUGUAGAUAGAUGCUCUUUACUUAAGCCCAGAUAGGUGGCUGGGGAAAAAGAAA